UACGUAGGGCGCAAGCGUUGUCCGGAAUUAUUGGGCGUAAAGAGCUCGUAGGCGGUUUGUCGCGUCUGUCGUGAAAGCUUGGGGCUUAACCCCAAGUCUGCGGUGGAUACGGGCAGACUAGAGUGAUGUAGGGGAGACUGGAAUUCCUGGUGUAGCGGUGAAAUGCGCAGAUAUCAGGAGGAACACCGGUGGCGAAGGCGGGUCUCUGGGCCGAUACUGACGCUGAGGAGCGAAAGCGUGGGGAGCGAACAGG
rnacentral:rRNA from 1 species